AGGGUUUUGACUUGUCUGCUGAAAUUAUAUUUUUAAAAUAUUUUUUACAUUCCCCAAAGGUUGUUUUGUAUUUAAUAUUGCAAUUGAUUUAGGUGUUGGUUUAAUUGCUUGUUUGAUUUUAGAUAAUCUACCUCCUCCAUCAUUUAUUUUUCACUUAGAGAUCUGCUUACUCUUCUUUUUGGUUGCAGGAUCCCAUAAGUGAACAAGAACUUGCUACCACUUCCUCAUGAGUUUAUCCCCCUUGUAACCGGAAGCUAAAGAGUCAAGAUGUCUCAAUGUAUGAAAAUUUUGCCCUCAGAAAUGGAGACCAAAAACUUAGAAUUAUUUCAGUGGAAAAAACAGAAGACCAAAAGGUGAAAUUUGCUUGGAGUGUCAUUUUGUCACCAGGUAUAAUCUUCAAUGUUGGUUACCAGUAUUCUGGGGUUUGGCAGAGCAGGAUUUGGA
rnacentral:lncRNA from 12 species